GAAGCUAUCCUCCAUGAUGUAAAGAAGUUUGGGGUAGACUUCUGAGUGAUGCAUACCAUGCAGAGAGGCCCUGUAGGAUGAAAGGCCAUCCUGGACACUGCAGCUUCAGCUGAGGUCCAAGUAAGAGAAGACUGGCAAAAUCGGAAUGAGGGAGGAAAUGAAGAUUAACACAACUCAUUUUACCAGGUUACAAAAAUAAAACCCCAUUCUGCUUAUUAAAUACUUGCUUUUCGAUA